GGACCCGCACAAGCAGUGGAGCGCUUGGUUUAAUUCGAUGCUAAGCGAAGAACCUCACCAGGGCUUGAACUGUAGCUGCAAACCCCCAGAAACGGGGGAAUCCUUCGAGGGUGCUACAGAGGUGCUGCAUGGCUGUCGUCAGCUCGUGUCGUGAGAUGUAGGGUUAAGUCCCGCAACGAGCGCAACCCCUAUUCGCUGUUAUAAUUUCUGCGAAAACUGCCACGCCAAAACGUGGAGGAAGGUGGGGAUGACGUCUAGUCAUCAUAGCCCUUAUGUCCUGGGCUACACAAGCGCUACAAUGGGUAGAGCAAUAGGUCGCCAAACCGCAAGGUGGAGCUAAUCCUAAAAACCUACCCUCAGUUCAGAUUGUCGGCUGCAACUCGCCGACAUGAAGUUGGAAUUGCUAGUAAUCGCGGAUCAGCAUGCCGCGGUGAAUACGUUCUCGGGUCUU
rnacentral:rRNA from 1 species